rnacentral:rRNA from 1 species
GACGAACGCUGGCGGCGUGCUUAACACAUGCAAGUCGAACGGAAAGGCCCUGCUUUUGUGGGGUGCUCGAGUGGCGAACGGGUGAGUAACACGUGAGUAACCUGCCCUUGACUUUGGGAUAACUUCAGGAAACUGGGGCUAAUACCGGAUAGGAGCUCCUGCUGCAGGGGGGGGGUUGGAAAGUUUCGGCGGUUGGGGAUGGACUCGCGGCUUAUCAGCUUGUUGGUGGGGUAGUGGCUUACCAAGGCUUUGACGGGUAGCCGGCCUGAGAGGGUGACCUGCCACAUUGUGACUGAGCUACUGCCCAGACUCCUACUGGAGGCAGCAGUGGGGAAUAUUGCACAAUGGUCGGAAGCCUGAUGCAGCAACGCCGCGUGCGGGAUGACGGCCUUCGGGUUGUAAACCGCUUUCGCCUGUGACGAAGCGUGAGUGACGGUAAUGGGUAAAGAAGCACCGGCUAACUACGUG